UACAGAGGUGGCAAGCGUUGUUCGGAAUUACUGGGCGUAAAGGGCGCGUAGGCGGCCUUCUAAGUCAGACGUGAAAUCCCCCGGCUUAACCUGGGAACUGCGUCUGAUACUGGAGGGCUUGAGUGCGGGAGAGGGAUGUGGAAUUCCAGGUGUAGCGGUGAAAUGCGUAGAUAUGACAUAGAACACCAAUUGCGAAGGCAGCUGGCUACACAAAUAUUGACACUGAGGCACGAAAGCGUGGGGAUCAAACAGG
rnacentral:rRNA from 1 species